CCUACGGGGGGCUGCAGUGAGGAAUCUUGCGCAAUGGGGGCAACCCUGACGCAGCAACGCCGCGUGAGUGAUGAAGGCCUUCGGGUCGUAAAGCUCUGUCAGGUGGGAAGAAACUCCCCAUGGUAAAUAAUCAUGGGGAUUGACGGUACCGCCAGAGGAAGCACCGGCUAACUCCGUGCCAGCAGCCGCGGUAAUACGGAGGGUGCAAGCGUUGUUCGGAAUUAUUGGGCGUAAAGAGCGUGUAGGCGGUUAGGUAAGUCAGAUGUGAAAGCCCUUGGCUUAACCAAGGAAGUGCAUUUGAAACUACUUAGCUUGAGUACGGGAGGGGGAAGCGGAAUUCCCGGUGUAGAGGUGAAAUUCGUAGAUAUCGGGAGGAACACCGGUGGCGAAGGCGGCUGCCUGGACCGAUACUGACGCUGAGACGCGAAAGCGUGGGGAGCAAACAGGAUUAGAUACCCCUGUAGUC
rnacentral:rRNA from 1 species